CACGAGGCCGGUGUAGGAACCGGUCUCCUGACAGUCUCAAGCCAGUCGCUGACCGCACGGGUCAUUAUUAUUAAUAUCUUAUAGUAGAAUUGAAUACAAUAAAAAAUUGAAUUAGUUGCCAUUUUAAUAUUUUAAGAGAAAAGUCCUAUCGUUUUAAGGAUAAUGUUAUGUUGGUUUUUUCUGUUCAAUGUUUUAAUCGUAAUUCAUAACUCAAAAUAUAGAACAAAGCUUGGGAUUCCUUUUUAAACGUGACUUAUAACUAUUAAUCAACGAAACUUAUUUUUAUUUUUCACUUUUGACAUCGGAAAGGAAAAACAAUCUUUCCGAUAUCACGACCAACGCAAUUCUUCAAACUGAGUAAGUUCGCACCGGCACAUAUACAGACAUCGAAUCGCUUCUUAUAAGUCUUUGUCCCGUUCAGAAGUGGGGUCAGCAAAAUAAUGGCAGUAUUAUGAAAUAAAGUUUUGCGUUCAAUUAUAUGUAUCAAAUAUCACAACCGACACAAUAUUCCUUCAAGCAGUUCAAGCGAAAAGUAGUGAUGAAGUUGAAGCACAUAUCGCAACUACGUUGAGUUUGUUUCACAUUGUCGAUCCAAAAGAAUUUUAUAAUCUCGAAAACCGGUUCUCCCAGCGAAGCUAAUAAAAUUACCCCGAUAAAUUGUGCAGAUUUUAUUACGCGGAAAGUUGACAGAGAUAGAAAGAAUAUAAUGUUUCGAAAUAACGAACAAGCUCUGUUUUUUUUGCUAUCUCAAGAGGCUACUGUAUUAAAUGCGAUGAUUCAAUCCUUAUUAAAAAAAUACUGCCCUAGCAGUAGACGACAUUAGUAAUAAGGAAAGUAUUAAAUAAUGAAA